rnacentral:rRNA from 1 species
AUGGAGAGAACUGGUGGGGCAACUCAACUCUCUGCGUGUAAAUGUAAAUGUUGUCGCGAUUUGUAUUCAUUUGUUGAGUUGCAAAAGCCAAAAGGUGGAAUAUAUAUGCAAGAUUUGAAUAUCUUUCAGUUGUUGCACAUGGUCUUGGUAGAUGUUCAGUGCAAAGGUUUAAAGGUGCCCUUUGAUUCGCAGGAUUCGCAAGAGAAUUUUUAG